rnacentral:lncRNA from 1 species
AAAUCCACAGGACAGUCUUCCACAAAAAAGAAUUAUUCAGCUCAAAAUGUCAAUAGUGCCCAUAUUGAGACACUAUGAUUUUGGUUAACCAUGUGAGCUCAUCCUCUAUGCUUUGAUUAUUCAUCAUCUAGCAUUUGAGACUAUCUCACAUCCCUAUGUAGUCUGUGAUCCUCAAGGCACUCUGUUUUUUGAGUCUUUUCUUGCAGGUCCUAAUGGCUCAACUAGAAAAAAUGGCUCAACUAGUGCUUGCUUCAUAUUUGUGAUGGAUUAUCACAAUUGGCCAAAAAGAGAAGCUCAGCAUAUCCAAGAAUAAGGACAGUUCUGAAAGAGACAGCUUGAAGGUUAUUGUGAAUUCAAGACAGCCAUGGGUAUCUUUUGUAAGUGGAGAUUGUGAAAUUUCUAUUGAGUACUCUACCCAUGAUAAAGACUGGGCUUCUUGCUCUGCCGUGCCUAUCAUGAAAUAUAGUCUUCUUCACCCAGUUCACUGGCUACAGCACCCACUGCCUGGCACAGCUUUUCUCAACCUACUUCUGCUUACUUAAAGCUUUUGUUUACUUCUAUCUUCAAAUUAUCCCAUGGCCUCCCUUGGUCUAUCCAUGGCCUAUCCAUGGUCCCUCCUGCCUCAUUGCCUUUCUCUGUGCACCUUUUAACUUCAUCUGUAUUGCUUGGUUCAGUUUCUGGAGAAUCAAAGCUUGUGAUUGGUUUUGUCUCUAUUUGAGCUGAGCUUUUUAUGACCAACAGUACAAAGGCUGAAUGUGCUAUGGUCUCGCACAGGACAGAGUGAUACAAAUUAUGGUCACCUUUACAUUAAGAACAGCCUGGGCCGUCAUCCCUCAGGAGGGCAGUUUCCAAGAAGCAGCAAGAAGUUAGUAAGCACCGUGCUUGUCACAUUCAAAAAAACUGAUACAUAGAGUUUAACCCACACAUAGAAUUCACGUCUUUUAACACAGAUUAUCCUCCCAUUGAAAAUGCCUUGUGAGAUCUAGCAAGAUUACUCUGGAUUAGGUUAAAAA